UACGUAGGGGCAAGCGUUGUCCGGAUUUACUGGGCGUAAAGGGCGCGUAGGCGGCCAGCACAAGUCAGUUGUGAAAUCUCCGGGCUUAACUCGGAAAGGUCAACUGAUACUGUGCGGCUAGAGUGCAGAAGGGGCAACUGGAAUUCUCGGUGUAGCGGUGAAAUGCGUAGAUAUCGAGAGGAACACCUGCGGCGAAGGCGGGUUGCUGGGCUGACACUGACGCUGAUGCGCGAAAGCCAGGGGAGCGAACGGG
rnacentral:rRNA from 1 species